rnacentral:tRNA from 1 species
GCGGCCGUGGCGCAAUGGCUGACGCAGCGGGUUUAGGUCCCGUGCCCUCAUGGGUUUGUGGGUUCGAAUCCCACCGGCCGCA